GAUGAACGCUGGCGGCGUGCCUAAUACAUGCAAGUCGAGCGAACAGACGAGGAGCUUGCUCCUCUGACGUUAGCGGCGGACGGGUGAGUAACACGUGGAUAACCUACCUAUAAGACUGGGAUAACUUCGGGAAACCGGAGCUAAUACUGGAUAAUAUAUUGAACCGCAUGGUUCAAUAGUGAAAGACGGUUUUGCUGUCACUUAUAGAUGGAUCCGCGCCGCAUUAGCUAGUUGGUAAGGUAACGGCUUACCAAGGCAACGAUGCGUAGCCGACCCGAGAGGGUGAUCGGCCACACUGGAACUGAGACACGGUCCAGACUCCUACGGGAGGCAGCAGUAGGGAAUCUUCCGCAAUGGGCGAAAGCCUGACGGAGCAACGCCGCGUGAGUGAUGAAGGUCUUCGGAUCGUAAAACUCUGUUAUUAGGGAAGAACAAAUGUGUAAGUAACUAUGCACGUCUUGACGGUACCUAAUCAGAAAGCCACGGCUAACUACGUG
rnacentral:rRNA from 1 species